rnacentral:rRNA from 1 species
AUUCUUAAUCCAACAUCGAGGUCGCAAUUUAUUUUGUGAAUAAGAGCUUCUCAAAAAUUUUGCGCUGUUAUCCCUUAGGUAACUUGGUUUAAUUCUUAUUUGGAUAAUUUAACUUGAGAUAGUUCAUCUUAUUAUAUUUAAAGAUUUAUUUAUUUAAAAAUCUCCCCAACUUAAUAAGUCAAUCUAAUUAACAUAAUUUAACUUAUAAAGUUCUAAAGGGUCUUCUUGUCUUUUGGUUUAAUUUAAGAUUUUUCACUUAAAUAUUAAUUUUUACUCUUUUAAUUUAAAAAGUUUGUUUCACAUUGUUUCUUUCAUUCAAGCUUUUAAUUAUAAAGCAACUUAUUAUGCUACCUUAGUACAGUUAAUUUACUGCAGCUAUUUAAAUUUGUCAUUGAGCAGAACUUAUCUAAA